rnacentral:rRNA from 1 species
GACAAACGCUGGCGGCGUACCUAAGACAUGCAAGUCGAACGGAGCAUCGUGCUUCGGUACGAUGCUGAGUGGCGGACGGGUGAGUAACGCGUAGGAACCUGUCGAGAAGUGGGGGAUAACGCUGGGAAACCGGCGCUAAUACCGCAUGUGAUCCGAUGAGGAUGAAAGCAGCAAUGCGCUUGUUGAGGGGCCUGCGUCCGAUUAGCUUGUUGGUGGGGUAAAGGCCUACCAAGGCGACGAUCGGUAGCUGGUCUGAGAGGAUGGUCAGCCACACUGG